rnacentral:rRNA from 1 species
AGUGAACGCUGGCGGUAGGCCUAACACAUGCAAGUCGAACGGCAGCACAGUAAGAGCUUGCUCUUACGGGUGGCGAGUGGCGGACGGGUGAGGAAUACAUCGGAAUCUACUUUUUCGUGGGGGAUAACGUAGGGAAACUUACGCUAAUACCGCAUACGACCUACGGGUGAAAGCAGGGGAUCUUCGGACCUUGCGCGAUUGAAUGAGCCGAUGUCGGAUUAGCUAGUUGGCGGGGUAAAGGCCCACCAAGGCGACGAUCCGUAGCUGGUUUGAGAGGAUGAUCAGCCACACUGGAACUGAGACACGGUCCAGACUCCUACGGGAGGCAGCAGUGGGGAAUAUUGGACAAUGGGCACAAGCCUGAUCCAGCCAUACCGCGUGGGUGAAGAAGGCCUUCGGGUUGUAAAGCCCUUUUGUUGGGAAAGAAAAGCAGCAGGUUAAUACCCCGCUGUUCUGACGGUACCCAAAGAAUAAGCACCGGCUAACUUCGUG